CUUCCUCUCUGAGAGAGAUACCUGAGCCAGCAGGUCAACUCAGGUUACCUCAACAGGUAUAAGGCCCCCAGGGGAUGGACGCCAGCAAGGGAGAGCAGGUCCCCUGAACCAAAAGGCGGGAUCCUAUGGGGUCCUUAAGUCUGGAGACUUUGAAGAGGAACAAGCACACCCUAUCCCCAAACACUCCAGGCGUCAGACAUCGCCAUGCCUCUUGCCCCUCCCCUGGGUGGGAGGCUGCCCUGUCUUCCCCGGUCCUUGAGGCUCUCUGGCUGCCCCUGUGGGUACAGAAGAGGUGGGGUCGCUGCAUACACCCAGCCCGACCGCACUGCCCCUUCAGACACCAGCUCCUGCCUGAGGCAGGGAGCCCAGGCAAUGGCCAGGAGCUUGGCUGGGGGUUCUGAGUACAAAGCUGUUUGUGGGGACAGAGGAGAGGGCAGCUGGUGGAUCUCUGGCUUCUGGCUGGGUUGGUUCAGGAUGUUCCUUCUCAGGAGGCUACUUGUAUCAAGGUUGGAGGAGACUGAAGCAGGCCUCUCACUUGUUCCCACAUACCCUGACCCCACAUACCCUGACCCCACAUACCCUGACCCCACAUACCCUGACCCCACAUACCCUGGCCCCAUCAUAAGAAAUGCCAGCUUGCCCUGGACAUCCCUUGGCUUCACCUCACCCCCCACUUCCCCAGGCAGGCUGCCCAGGCCAGGAUGUGGAUGAGAACUGUCAACAGACACUCUUUAAAUAUUUACCCACACUUUCUCUGGGCGGUUUCCCCCACCCCCAAGACAGGGUACAUGCAAGUUAAUUCUAAUGAAUAAAAGAACCUUAGUUCAUCAGCACCCUUCUCUGGCCAUAUGUGCGUGCAGUGAUGUGAGCUGAACACAGACAGAGAGAAAAGGGAGAAAGUGAGAGAGCUGUAGAUAUGUGUGCUGUGUGCAUACGAAUGAAGAAGAGGAAGAAUGAUUUUUCUGGCCCUCUCCCCGUACAGUGUGUGAGGUUGUUACACACAGGGCAACACUGAGGUACACUGGGGAUAUACAGAUACUGUAUAUGCUACCUUCCACCCUGAAAAACAUCAAAUGCACCCUCACUAAACUAUCAUGCCUUGAAGCACCCCUGUCACUUCACAGAUUCUGUGCACACGCAUGCACACCCAGGCACAUAGGAAAACAAUGCCUAACAAAUACAUGCGCAGCGUUAGCUCUUUGCAUCAUGAACAAAUUUGCUACCUAUUUUCCGUCCACAUCCUGAGGCUCCCACAUCCUGGAUGAGGAAGGAGGCCGUAGGAAACCAGAUCUUUUUCUUCCCCAUCUGGAAGCCAGCUCUGGGUAUGGAGGAAGGCAUGGCAGUGCAGGGGAGGAUGGUGUUGAGAGAAGGAGCUUCCCCAUCCCACCUCUUUAUGAUUUAAAUAAUUUCUGGGGAAAUGGCCACCCUCAGCCACAUUCUCCAAGGAGAUUCACUGAUGCCCAAGCAAGAGAUGCUUCCUCUAUCCUCUGAAUUUAGAGAAACCCUCCCCCAUCUGAGUUCGGGGCUGCCCAGACUGGGAAGCCCAGACCAUGGACCCUGGAGCAGCGGGAGGGGAGGGUCAGAGGAAGGCUGUGCCAGGGCCUCAUGUCUCCCUAGGGCCCCGGAUAGUGGAGGACACGACAGGGGAGAGCAUGCUCCAGCCUUGGUUGCAGCCCUGCCUUCUCUGAGCCUGCUCUGCAGUCCUGAGCGCAUCCGGAUGGACUCUGGCUCCCAGCAUCUGAUCACCCGGACUGUCAUAAAUACUUCUCCUCCCUGCCUGGGAAGAGGAGGCUGGCAGGCCGGUCCCUUCUGGAGCCUGCACCUUAUCUUUUAGAGGGUGGAGGGGACACCGCUACAGUUUAUGGGCCAGCGAAAUCCCUGCCACACAGCUACUCUUCCGGGUCUUUGUGUCUUGGAAUGCGACUGUCCUGAGUGUGCCGCCACCACCACCACCACCGCCGGCUCUGAGAGCCCACCAGUCCUGAAAACCCUGGCCGGACUUAGUUUCCCCUUUUGGGGGGGUCCCUCGCCUUUUCUUCCUUUCUUUCAUUUGAUUGGUUUCUUUUUUUCUUUUAUGCGUAACUGGUUGAUUUUCCUUCGGGAGCCAGGAAAUAAAGAACCACAAGCAGCCAUCCUCGCUGGGGAGUCUCUGUCCCUCGCCUCGAGGCCUGCACCGCCUUUCUAGGUAUCACGGAUUUAUGUUCGUUUGUCUGGGUCAUUCUGCCUUUUUGUGUUAAUUACGCGCUGCCUGCUUCGUUCUUAUCUCCUCCGCAAAGCGAUUAUUUUCGACACCCGCCCUCCCUCGCCUCCCUCGCGAACCUGCUGUCAGGGCCAGGGCCCAUCUCCCGCCACCGCUCACGAUUUAUUUACACCUCGCAGAGACACCAAGCAAAGGCACUGCCGCGAUCCUUCCUCCUCCCCUCUUCAGGCGCAUUUCUGGGCUGGGAACACCUCCGCGCACGCCGACGCACGCUCUGAAGCUCCCGCAACCACCUGCCCGAGGCUGCACCCUGAACUCCUGGCUCUUCUUACCCUGCCGCUGGUGCCGCACCGCCUAUUCCGCCGCUGCCCGCUGGACUUUGGGGUGGGACUCUGACUUCUCCCGGCUGUUUGCCCCCUGGUUUGCAGCCCAUCCCUCUCUCACGCGCGCUCUCUCCACCUCUCCCUCCCAGCCAGUGAGGUCCUGUUCUCCGUGGGCCAUAGACAAAACAUUCCUAUAAUCUGAUUUCAAAGGGAAGAGUGUCCACCUUAUUUAAACCAUAAAACAAUUAAGCCCAGACGUCUAGCCAGCUCCGCGCUGCUGUUUUGUUCGGCCCCAUUCAGAAUCCAGCGCAGGGAGACAAACAGCGCCAUAAAAGUGGCAUUUCGGUGCUGCGGAAAUGUACCUAUCCCCGGCCUUUCCAAGUGGAACAACCUUUAGGGUUUUGUGAUUCUGACAAAGGAGCAGAGGAGAGGUGGGAGGGGAAGAUUAGGGGCAGGAGGGCGUUUGCUAGCCCCUUUCCCCCCCGCUUUCGUUUCUUUCCCCAGAUGUGUGUUGUGUCGUGGUGGUUUUAACUCACAAAUUAUAAUAAAUAAAAAUUGAAUCCAAUCCUGA